AAUCAGGUUCACAAAUUCCCAAUUAAACCGCCUAUCCAUACUAAGCUAUUCUGCUCUCCUCUAAACCUAACUCCAUCAUCAGCAACAAAAAAAAAAUUCCUUUUUGGUUAAAAUCUGGGUUUUGCUUGCUAAACUUCAAGGAGGGGUUUUUGGUUCGUCACUUUCAUAAAUUUGAGGUAUUAACUUACAGUUUGCUACACAAUAUUGUUUCUAGGUAUAUAUAUAUCGUUUUUGGUACCUAAUAUAUCACAAUUCUCUAAAUUUUCGUUAAAAUUGGGAAUUAUUUCUUUGCAUGUCUUCUAUUUUGAGUUGGUGUAGAACAAGAAUCGAUCUCGAUCUUAUUGCGAGCUGAUAAGCUUGCUUUUAUGGGAGAACAAAGUUCAAAGCAGGAGAAUGUGUCCCUUUUACUUACCCUCCAGCAAACUUCUUUGACAUUUAUGCUACUGAAAUUCCUGAUAUGGCUCCCUAGUCUUCUGUUGAUGGUUUAAUCCAGUAGCUCCUUUUGCUAACCUCAGACUACUGAAAAUUUCCUAACUACCAGUCAGCAUUCUGGGAUAAGUGCCAUAUAAAGAGUAUUAUCACUCUAAGUCAAUUGGAAAAGGCAAUGUAGGAGCAACAACAGAAUAGGUCGGGACACUUGAGCAUCAACAAGAGAAUAUAUCUAAGGCCGUCAUCUAUUUAUUUUGGUUUUUAGUCUUAUAUUAGCGAUGUAUUUAUUUAGGGACAAGCUACUAUAAUAUGCGACGUUUUUUUUUAAUAAUUGUGUUGAUGUUUUCUUUUAUAAAUUUGGUAAUUAACUACGUACACUUAUUAAUGUUGAUUAAUUGUUGUUUUUUAUUUUUAAUCUAGUUAUAUAGAAUAUUUGUUUA